GUCAUAUUCCCUCCGUUCCGAAUUACUUGUCGCGGGUAUGGAUGUAUCUAGAUGUAUUUUAAUUCUAGAUACAUCCAUUUAUGCGACGAGUAAUUUAGAACGGAGGGAGUACAAC
rfam:Triticum urartu cultivar G1812 contig946198, whole genome shotgun sequence.